rnacentral:rRNA from 1 species
UACGUAGGGUCCGAGCGUUAAUCGGAAUUACUGGGCGUAAAGCGUCCGCAGGUGGACAUACAAGUCUGCUGUCAAAGUGCAGAGCUUAACUCUGUAAAGGCGGUGGAAACUGUAGGUCUUGAGUAUGGUAGGGGUAGAGGGAAUUCCCGGUGUAGCGGUGAAAUGCGUAGAUAUCGGGAAGAACACCAGUGGCGAAAGCGCUCUACUGGGCCAUAACUGACACUGAGGGACGAAAGCUAGGGGAGCGAAAGGG